rnacentral:lncRNA from 1 species
CAAACUAAAUUCUCUCACCGUUGAAAACUUGAUCUGAUGCCACUUAAUAGGAGUAGAGGUGUCCCGAUCUUUCGGUGAAGAUGGAUAACUUCGAUCUCUCUGGAGCGACGUUCACGAUCCGACUACAACCAUCCAAGGACGCUGCGCCUUAGCGAUCGAUACACCAAUUCCAGCGGUUGAUCACGAUCUUGUUGAUCACAACCAACCAAACCACUAGGGUAAUUCCUGCACG